UACGUAGGGUGCGAGCGUUGUCCGGAAUUACUGGGCGUAAAGAGCUCGUAGGUGGUUUGUCGCGUUGUUCGUGAAAACUCACAGCUCAACUGUGGGCGUGCGGGCGAUACGGGCAGACUGGAGUACUGCAGGGGAGACUGGAAUUCCUGGUGUAGCGGUGGAAUGCGCAGAUAUCAGGAGGAACACCGGUGGCGAAGGCGGGUCUCUGGGCCGAUAUUGACGCUGAGGAGCGAAAGCGUGGGGAGCGAACAGG
rnacentral:rRNA from 1 species